CACAUGUCGAGCAAUCUAAAUAGUUUUUUGGUAUCUUACAGAUAUGUUCCAAUGGUCACCAAAUAUGGAGGUGGAACUCACAGCCCACACUAAAAUAUGGGAUUCAGGCAGGAGACUUUAUGAUGGCUACAAACAUACUCCUGUCUGGGAAUAACUACUAUAAAGUCUCCCACUUGUUCAAUUAUAUGAAUAUGGACUUUGUUGGGAAGGACUUAUUCUUUAACAUUCAAGACACCUAUUGCCUAAGAGCAAUCAAGGAAUUUUGGGAAGGGAAGAGAUCUACAGCGAUCCAACGGCUGCAGGAUAAAGACAGUGUUGUUGUGCUAGCAGAUGGAAGAAUGGAUAGUCCAGGACACUGUGCACAGUAUUGAACCUACACCAUGAUGGAGAACGAAUCAAAGGAAAUCAUAUCUGUUGUGACUGUUGACAAAAGGCAGACCCAGCGAAACUCUGUCAUUAUGGAAAGAGAGGCUUUUGUAAAAACCAUGGACAAGCUUCUAACUGAAAUAAAGCUCACAGAAAUAUGUACGUAUGCUCACACUCAGAUUUCUUCUCUUAUGAAUCCUAACUCUGGUAGAUACAAGGAAUCUGGAGUACUUCACUCAUGGGAUAUGUGGCAUGGAGCGAAGAAUCUGGCCAAGAAGAUCACUACACAGCAGGACAGCUGUCAGGGCAAAAGAUACUACUGAAGUGGACAAAAGACAUUGUUAACCACUUCUGGUACUGUUGUAAG